rnacentral:rRNA from 1 species
AGAGUUUGAUCCUGGCUCAGAUUGAACGCUGGCGGCAUGCUUUACACAUGCAAGUCGAACGGCAGCACGGGUGCUUGCACCUGGUGGCGAGUGGCGAACGGGUGAGUAAUGCACCGGAACGUACCCAGUAAUGGGGGAUAACACAUCGAAAGAUGUGCUAAUACCGCAUACGCCCUGAGGGGGAAAGCGGGGGAUCGUAAGACCUCGCGUUAUUGGAGCGGCCGAUGCCGGAUUAGCUAGUUGGUGAGGUAAGAGCUCACCAAGGCGACGAUCCGUAGCUGGUCUGAGAGGACGACCAGCCACACUGGGACUGAGACACGGCCCAGACUCCUACGGGAGGCAGCAGUGGGGAAUUUUGGACAAUGGGCGCAAGCCUGAUCCAGCCAUGCCGCGUGAGUGAAGAAGGCCUUCGGGUCGUAAAGCUCUUUCGCAAGGAAAGAAAACUUAUCUACUAA